rnacentral:rRNA from 1 species
UCGGAUGCUGACGAGUGGCGAACGGGUGAGUAAUGCAUCGGAACGUGCCCAGUCGUGGGGGAUAACGCAGCGAAAGCUGUGCUAAUACCGCAUACGAUCUAUGGAUGAAAGCGGGGGAUCGCAAGACCUCGCGCGAUUGGAGCGGCCGAUGUCAGAUUAGCUAGUUGGUGGGGUAAAGGCCCACCAAGGCGACGAUCUGUAGCUGGUCUGAGAGGACGACCAGCCACACUGGGACUGAGACACGGCCCAGACUCCUACGGGAGGCAGCAGUGGGGAAUUUUGGACAAUGGGCGCAAGCCUGAUCCAGCGAUGCCGCGUGCAGGAAGAAGGCCUUCGGGUUGUAAACUGCUUUUGUACGGAACGAAAAGGUCUGGGUUAAUACCCUGGGCUCAUGACGGUACCGUAAGAAUAAGCACCGGCUAACUACGUGCCAGCAGCCGCGGUAAUACGUAGGGUGCAAGCGUUAAUCGGAAUUACUGGGCGUAAAGCGUGCGCAGGCGGUUUUGUAAGACAGGCGUGAAAUCCCCGGGCUCAACCUGGGAAUGGCGCUUGUGACUGCAAAGCUGGAGUGCGGCAGAGGGGGAUGGAAUUCCGCGUGUAGCAGUGAAAUGCGUAGAUAUGCGGAGGAACACCAAUGGCGAAGGCAAUCCCCUGGGCCUGCACUGACGCUCAUGCACGAAAGCGUGGGGAGCAAACAGGA